AUCUCCCUCUUCUCCUUCCUUUUCUUCUUUUUUCCACCCUUCCUCCUUGUGUCUUUCGCUUCAUUCCUGCAGGAGAAGAGGAGAGAGUAUCGUGCGCUCUCACAGAAGAACACCGAAACGGCAAGAAAGAGAAGAGGAUUUAUUUACCGACCUACUUUGGAUCUCUCUUUUUCCUGCAAGUGUCGUUAUUAUUCCCGUUCUCUAUUUUUACACUUCGCCGUGAAUUCGUCUCCUCUGCGAAUUUAGUCACAUCCGAUUUUUUUUUCUGCGA